AACGAACGCUGGCGGCAGGCUUAACACAUGCAAGUCGAACGCCCCGCAAGGGGAGUGGCAGACGGGUGAGUAACACGUGGGAACCUUCCUAGAGGUACGGAACAACGCAGGGAAACUUGCGCUAAUACCGUAUACGCUCAAGAGAGGAAAGAUUUAUCGCCUUUAGACGGGCCCGCGUCGGAUUAGCUAGUUGGUGGGGUAACGGCCUACCAAGGCGACGAUCCGUAGCUGAUCUGAGAGGAUGAUCAGCCACACUGGGACUGAGACACGGCCCAGACUCCUACGGGAGGCAGCAGUGGGGAAUCUCGGACAAUGGGCGCAAGCCUGAUCCAGCCAUGCCGCGUGAGUGAAGAAGGCCUUCGGGUUGUAAAGCUCUUUUGUCAGGGACGAUAAUGACGGUACCUGAAGAAUAAGCCCCGGCAAACUUCGUGCCAGCCGCCGCGGUAA
rnacentral:rRNA from 1 species